rnacentral:tRNA from 1 species
CUCUCUGUAGCUCACUUGGUUAGAGCGCUGCACCGGAAUCACAGGGACGCAGGGUUCGAUGCCUGCUAGAAGG